GCCCGCUUGGCCCAGUGGUAAGGCGUGUCACUCGUACAUCGGAGAAUUACGUAAGCCUCCUAUCCGAGAUCAUGACAAGAUCAGUUGUUCGAAUCAGCUAGUGGGCA